GUUGUUCCUCUCUGAGGUGCAGUUGCAGGUGGUUGUUCCUCUCUGAGGUGCAGUUGCAGGUGGUUGUUCCUCUCUGAGGUGCAGUUGCAGGUGGUUGUUCCUCUCUGAGGUGCAGUUGCAGGUGGUUGUUCCUCUCUGAGGUGCAGUUGCAGGUGGUUGUUCCUCUCUGAGGUGCAGUUGCAGGUGGUUGUUCCUCUCUGAGGUGCAGUUGCAGGUGGUUGUUCCUCUCUGAGGUGCAGUUGCAGGUGGUUGUUCCUCUCUGAGGUGCAGUUGCAGGUGGUUGUUCCUCUCUGAGGUGCAGUUGCAGGUG